rnacentral:lncRNA from 1 species
AACGUUUCAGCAAAGAACUUGGCACGGCUGACAAGGAUGAAGAUGCCUCAAAACACUGGUGAAGGCGUAGGAACUGCCAGGCUAGUUGUCACAGAUGAAGCUUUACCCCCUUCAGCUAUUAGAUAGGAUUGUAAGUAUACACAAUGCCCCUGGCAGGCACAUACUGUUGCGUGGAUGUGCUGGAGAAUGCCAGGGUGUAUCUACAUGCGCUCAUUGCCUACCUACCUCCCUGCUGCAUCUAUGAUUCCCG